rnacentral:rRNA from 1 species
AUGAACGUUGGCGGCGUGCCUAACACAUGCAAGUCGAGCGUGAAAGUCCUUCGGGAUGAGUAAAGCGGCGGACGGGUGAGUAACGCGUGAGAAUUUCCCUUUCAGUGAAGAAUACCUUUGAGAAAUUAAAGUUAAUACUGCAUACGUCUCGAUAAGAGAGAAAGAUGGCCUAAUUGCUGUCGCUGAAAGAUAAGCUUGCGUUCUAUUAGCUAGUUGGUGAGGUAAUGGCUCACCAAGGCGAUGAUGGAUAGCCGGCCUGAGAGGGCGAACGGCCACAUUGGAACUUAGACACGGUCCAAACUCCUACGGGAGGCAGCAGUGAGGAAUAUUGCACAAUGGGCGAAAGCCUGAUGCAGCGACGCCGCGUGGAGGAUGAAGGUCUUAGGAUCGUAAACUCCUGUUAAGUGUGAAAAAAGAGUCGUCUUUAAUAGAGACGAAAGAUGAUGGUAACACUAGAGAAAGCACCGGCUAACUUCGU